UACGGGGGGAGCAAGCGUUGUUCGGAUUUACUGGGCGUAAAGGGCGCGUAGGCGGCCACCGCAAGUCGGUUGUGAAAUCUCUGGGCUUAACCCAGAAAGGUCAACCGAUACUGCGGGGCUAGAGUGCAGAAGGGGCAACUGGAAUUCUCGGUGUAGCGGUGAAAUGCGUAGAUAUCGAGAGGAACACCUGCGGCGAAGGCGGGUUGCUGGGCUGACACUGACGCUGAGGCGCGAAAGCUAGGGUAGCAAACGGG
rnacentral:rRNA from 1 species